UGUUGAUCCAUUCAGCAAACUGGACAGGAGUAGAAUUUACCUGCCUGAGGGAGAUUUUGAAUCUGAGGAAGGAUUUGCAUUUUCAAAAAUCAGCGGUGUGUCUAGAAUCUCAUGGAAUAAGAAGGCUAAAGAGGUGGGAUGCUAGGAAAUGUGGCCACAUCCUUUGUUCAACUUAGAGCGCCAAACUGAAGAUACUGCAAGGCAUGUCCUCCGCACACACGGUACAGUGUUGCACGAGGCAGACAGGUCCCCUCCCUUGAGACGUUUCCAGGGCAGUGAGGUCAAACGAGUAACAUCAGUCAAUGACACCAGGCAGCUCAAGAGAAAUGGGACAGGGGCUCCUGCCCAGACCUGCCACAGAAGUGCCUGCACACUGACACCAAGAGAUGGAAAC